rnacentral:rRNA from 1 species
CGCUGAGUUUAAUCAUAUCAAUAAA